rnacentral:rRNA from 1 species
AUUGAACGCUGGCGGCAUGCUUUACACAUGCAAGUCGAACGGCAGCGCGGGCUUCGGCCUGGCGGCGAGUGGCGAACGGGUGAGUAAUGCAUCGGAACGUGCCCAAUAGUGGGGGAUAGCCCGGCGAAAGCCGGAUUAAUACCGCAUACGACCUGAGGGUGAAAGCGGGGGACCGAAAGGCCUCGCGCUAUUGGAGCGGCCGAUGUCGGAUUAGCUAGUUGGUGGGGUAAAGGCUUACCAAGGCGACGAUCCGUAGCUGGUCUGAGAGGACGACCAGCCACACUGGGACUGAGACACGGCCCAGACUCCUACGGGAGGCAGCAGUGGGGAAUUUUGGACAAUGGGGGCAACCCUGAUCCAGCCAUGCCGCGUGCGGGAAGAAGGCCUUCGGGUUGUAAACCGCUUUUGUUCGGGAAGAAAUCCUCUGGGCUAAUACCCCGGGGGGAUGACGGUACCGGAAGAAUAAGCACCGGCUAACUACGUG